rnacentral:rRNA from 2 species
GUCGAGCGCACCUUCGGGUGAGCGGCGGACGGGUUAGUAACGCGUGGGAACGUACCCUUUUCUACGGAAUAGCCUUUGGAAACGAAGAGUAAUACCGUAUACGCCCUUUGGGGGAAAGAUUUAUCGGAGAAGGAUCGGCCCGCGUUAGAUUAGAUAGUUGGUGGGGUAACGGCCUACCAAGUCUACGAUCUAUAGCUGGUUUUAGAGGAUGAUCAGCAACACUGGGACUGAGACACGGCCCAGACUCCUACGGGAGGCAGCAGUGGGGAAUCUUAGACAAUGGGCGCAAGCCUGAUCUAGCCAUGCCGCGUGAGUGAUGAAGGCCUUAGGGUCGUAAAGCUCUUUCGCCUGUGAUGAUAAUGACAGUAGCAGGUAAAGAAACCCCGGCUAACUCCGUGCCAGCAGCCGCGGUAAUACGGAGGGGGUUAGCGUUGUUCGGAAUUACUGGGCGUAAAGCGCACGUAGGCGGAUUGGAAAGUUGGGGGUGAAAUCCCGGGGCUCAACCCCGGAACUGCCUCCAAAACUAUCAGUCUAGAGUUCGAGAGAGGUGAGUGGAAUUCCAAGUGUAGAGGUGAAAUUCGUAGAUAUUUGGAGGAACACCAGUGGCGAAGGCGGCUCACUGGCUCGAUACUGACGCUGAGGUGCGAAAGUGUGGGGAGCAAACAGGAUUAGAUACCCUGGUAGUCCACACCGUAAACGAUGAAUGCCAGUCGUCGGGCAGUAUACUGUUCGGUGACACACCUAACGGA